rnacentral:rRNA from 1 species
UGGGGAAUAUUGGACAAUGGGCGCAAGCCUGAUCCAGCCAUGCCGCGUGGGUGAAGAAGGCCUUCGGGUUGUAAAGCCCUUUUGUUGGGAAAGAAAAGCAGUCGGUUAAUACCCGAUUGUUCUGACGGUACCCAAAGAAUAAGCACCGGCUAACUUCGUGCCAGCAGCCGCGGUAAUACGAAGGGUGCAAGCGUUACUCGGAAUUACUGGGCGUAAAGCGUGCGUAGGUGGUUUGUUAAGUCUGAUGUGAAAGCCCUGGGCUCAACCUGGGAAUUGCAUUGGAUACUGGCAGGCUAGAGUGCGGUAGAGGGUAGUGGAAUUCCCGGUGUAGCAGUGAAAUGCGUAGAGAUCGGGAGGAACAUCCGUGGCGAAGGCGACUACCUGGACCAGCACUGACACUGAGGCACGAAAGCGUGGGGGAGCAAACAGGAUUAGAUACCCUGGUAGUCCACGCCCUAAACGAUGCGAACUGGAUGUUGGGUUCAAUUAGGAACUCAGUAUCGAAGCUAACGCGUUAAGUUCGCCGCCUGGGGAGUACGGUCGCAAGACUGAAACUCAAAUGAAUUGACGGGGUCAUAGC